UUUUUUUUGAUGUAAAAGCAAAUAAAAAUUAUACAGAGAAUUUUCCUUUUAUUCACAUGAAUACGAUUGUUAAGUUGACAAUGGCAGUAUUACAUUGACGAGUCGAAUAACAUUACAAAAAGAAGAAAUGUAAAUUGCAUAUCAGUUUAUAGAUUGAAUCUAAAUUUAGAAAAUAUUAAAUUUUAAAAAGCGCGUAACCCAAAAAUCAAAAUUUGUGGCCUGGCCUGCCAAAUGAAAUAAAAAUAAAAGGAAAAAACUGAAAAAUAAUACAGAACAUAAAUAAUUAGAAAACAGUAAUGAUGAGUGCUGGACUGAAAACAAAGUGUAACCGGACGAAAGGCAUCAUAGUACUAAUUCAGUUGCAAAGGAUAACCUGACAAAGGCAUAAGGAAUCUCUGGUGUUGGACCAAUAAACCUAUCAAUUACUGUCAUCAAUUAGAUGAUUAAUUGUUAGCUAUGUAAAGUCUCUAUCUACCCAAUCCCUUACGACAAAGGAACAACUGCACUCCACAUGAAAAGUUGGAUAAUCUUCAAGAACGACACCAUCAAACCAAGACAACCUCAUAUAUAUAUAUAUACAUAUUACUAAUUAAUUUGUAGGGGAUAAUUUAAUUUAACAGUUGAAAGCUUCUUUCUUUCAUCGAUAGAAAAAAUAAUUACUAAUGUUAAAAGAUACUAGCUUCUUUCUUUCAGCGAUGAAAAAGAAUUAUUAUAUCAAAAGAUACAAUAAUAUUAAAAAAAAAAAGAAAUUAUAUGUAUAAUAAAAAGAAUCACCAUAUUUCAACUUGAAUGAUUCAAAGAGUAUAAUAGAUUUCAUUCUGACAAUAAUACAUGAGCAAUCUCUAAAUUAUACUACAUAAAAUGGAUAACUAACAAUAGAGUAAUCAAAUACAUGGGGAGAAGAUUUUUCCUUUCAAGUUUUUAAUAGGUAAUCAUACUUAAUGGAGAUUAAUUUCCUGUAUAUAAUUUUGAUUAGAAAGAAUUAUUUGGUCUAUAUCUAAAGAAAAAUUGAAAAAUUAAGACUUAAUGACCCCAAGAACUGUUCCUUGAAGUGAAACUGAAUGCUCAAUAUCACCAAUGUGAAGACUAUGUAGACCAAUUGGAAUUCUUCGAAUUCCAUAUUUAUCCACGACACUCAAAUACUUGCAUACGUGUAUAUUGAUUCCUACUCUUUGUUGUGACCCUGCUGCCACGUGUACUUUCUCAAAGGCUACCAAUUGCUUAUGUGGCGCCCAAAGUCCAGCUGGCGGUGUAGAGUAGACAAGAAGUGUGUAAGUUCCAUCUUUGGACCCAACAUUCUUAACAUCAACUUGAAGUCCUAAAGAAAGUCUAUUACACUUAGUAUGUGUAACUCUAAUUGCCUUCCCUGAUAUGGUGGUGUUGCCCCGGUGGCCAGCUAGAGGUACAGAAACCAUUGUGGGUGCACUAGCUAUGUUGUGAACAAAGUUUGUGUAGCUCAUUCCAUGUCCAAAUGGGUACACCACUUCACCCUUAUAGAAUCUAUAGGUUCUUCCUGGAUACCCUUUUGAUUGGCUUGACCUCAUGCCCAUUUCUGUCAUUGGGAGAUUUGUUAUGUAAUCUUGUGGGUACCAUGUCAUGGGCAGCUUCCCUCCUGCAAGAAACAACUUUACGUGACUGACCAUUGACAUAUGAUAUAAAUUUUACCCUGACGUUUAAGCGAUUUGUCCCGCCACAUAUUUAUGUUUGCAGAAACCUAUCAAAAUCUUAUAAUUUUACAUUUCAGAAAUAUUAUAUUACUAGUUAAAAUUAUGAUUCUACAUUUUUACAUUUUAUUUUGACGAGUGACAUGAUUAUUACUAAAAUGUAAAAGUGUAGGUUCAUAAUAGAUUAUAUAAACUUGAGGUACCACAAGACAAAUAGCGUAAAUUUCAGGACAAAUCUAUGCAUUUCGUGAUAUAAAUUGUAUGAAGUGAGCAAACCUGGGUUAGUUGUUCCAAACAAGACAUCAGCAAUAGCUGCUCCACCGGCUUGGCCCGGAUAACCAGUCCAUAAGAUUGCAGAGAUUUUAGGAUCGUUCUUAGCAAAAGAAACAUCUAUUGGCCCACCAGACAUCAAGACCAGAAUGGUUGGGCCCUUUGAGGCUGAAGCAACUUUAGACACGAACUCCUGUUGGCGUCCUGGAAGAAGAAGCCCAGUCCUGUCUCUAAACUCUGCCUCAAUAGAUUGGUCAAGCCCCAUCACUAGAACUGUUGCAUCCGCUUGGCUUGCAGCUCCAAUUGCUUCACCAAAUAGCUGGUCACUAGCACAACCCACAUCUGGACACCCCUGUUUGUAAAUUGUCCUGGCAUAACUUCCUAUUCCUUGCAACGGCGUCGUAUAGCCACAAGCAACCCCUAAAAAAAGAACAUUAAGCCGAUUUUCUGCUAGCUUUACAAAGGAUUAGGCUUAGGAAGCAAAACCUACCAGCAUAAUUUCCAAUCAUAGUAACAGUGACAUUGGAGUUAGGCCCAAUUACAGCAAUGGUGCGAUGGCGGUGAGUAAACAAAGGCAAGGAAGGACCAUGAUUAUUAUUUUUUAAAAGAACAAUGCCUUGCCUAGCAGCUUCAAGGGCUAGCUCUUGGUGGGCUUGGGUACACACAUCUUCUGGGCCCAAGUUUCCAUAUGGGUGCGAAGAUGGUUCACCAUCAAACAUCCCUAGCCUCAUUUGGACAGUUAAAGUAUUAACCAAAGCCCCAUUUACAUGGGCUUCAUUAAUUAGCCCUCUUUUAACUGCGUCCUGCGUGUGCUUUGCAAGGAAAGGACCACAGUCCAAAUCUAGACCUGCUUUUAUAGCAUCAGCUGCUGCCUCUUCAGGAGUUGAUGUAUAAUGUUGCUGAUUGUAAUAAACACCAACAGAAUCACAGUCUGAAACAAUAUACCUGAAAAAUUUUGAAAUUAAGCAAAAUUUUCCAAUGAUAAAAAUAUUUACUCAACAUGAUACAAUCAAACGGCUCUUACCCAUUUAGGCCCCACUGGGUUCGUACAGUCUUCUGUAGCAGAUUAGGGUCUGCACAAGUGGGUAUGCCAUUAACUUGAUUGUAGGAGCACAUUACACUUGCUACCUUUCCUUCUUUUACACACAUCCUGAAUGGCACAUCAAAUGUAUCUACUAUGUCCUGUUUGCUUACCUGUUUCGCAACCGUAGAUUAACAGCACGUGAUUAUCUAUUAUCUAACAUUAUUUAUAUUAUUAUUGUUUAUGGAAACAACUCAAAGAAAAAAUUUCUAUUUUCCUUAAUUUGAUGGCAAGUUAAUUGCAAAAACUAUAAUGGCUAGGGCAAAAAGAAAACGACAUUUUUGACGGUUGAUGGUCCUAACUUCCAUGCCAUUAAUGUCCAAAGUAGACAACCAAACAGGUUGAUUCUGGUUCCUUUCAAUUACUAUAAAUUAUACGUACGUCUCCUUUUACUAAAAUUACCAUCUUGUCAAUAAAAAUCAAUGAUCAUAAACCAACAAUCAAAUUCACGUAUAAAUUCUCAUCAUAAAAGCAGUGUACCUUAGCAUUAAAGUGGAAGCGAUCCACUCCAUUCCAGUUAUCGAGGUCAUACGCAGUGAAAUGUUUACAACAAGCUGCAACCUUCAACCGGUCACCCUCGUUUCCCUGUAAACCCUUAACAUAACUAGCAGCAUAUUUACCGACUACUAAAGGAUCUUCACCGGGAGUCUCCUGUCCACGUCCCCACCUUGGGUCUCGAAAUAUAUUUACAUUUGGACUCCAAUACGUGAGCCCGCCCAUCCCUCCAUUGUACAUUGCUCUAGCUUCGUCUGACACAACCUGCCCACUUGAUGUAUUUUAGCAUCUCUACAAAGUCUCUAUAUUUCUUAACUACAUAAAAACAAAUCCAAAACUCGCUCGCCAUUUGUCAAAUUUUAAUAAUUCAUCACUCUUUUUCUUCUAGUGACCAAUAUAAAUAAUUGCAACUUGGCAAGUUGCAACAGGUAAUUAAUUAAUAAAUUCAAUAUAAUGAUUUUUUCUCUUUUAGAGAUUUAAGUUUCUAAAAGUACCCUUUACAUGAAAAUGGAAUUUUUUUUUUUAAGUAUAUUAAAGGAUUUUAUUAUUAAAUAUCACUUAUCGAAGAACCAAUGACAAAUCAUGAGGAUUGCGAGAAUCAUUUUUCUAGACAUGACAUGCAAUGAAUAGCCUGAAUUAAUAAUAAAUGGACAACAAAAUUGUGGACCGUCAAAUAAAGUUCGGAAUUUUAUCAUUAUAAACUAUUAACGAUACAUAUAUAGUGUUCAUGGCCCACAAAACACAGUUUGUUAGUUGGUUUGUUCAUUGUAACGUAAGAAUGAAUAGAUUGGUCCUUUCAUUAUUUGAAUGACCUAAGCAAGCAAGAAAUUGCAGCAAAAAGCUCUAGUAUAGACACACUAGGCACGAGCAAGCAUGGUGCGGUUAACAUGACGGAAAAUAAAAAACAAAACAUAUAAAAGGUUAUCUUCCCUAAGAAACAAUACAGAACUGUUCAAUCCAGCUCUGUUUUCAAAAAUAAAGUUAUAAACUAAUGAAUAUAUAAGGGAUUAAAAAGAAAUCUGACCCGUCCAAUAGCCUCCCACAAAGUAGCAUUGAAAGAAGCAGCGGUAGUGAUGACUUGAGGGAAGCUAGUAGCUCCAGGGAAGGCCCCACCGAACUUAGUGCCUGGACCCACAUUGGAAACCCCAUGAAGAGCUUCCGACCACCACUCAUACCCUUUAAUCCCAAGCCGAGAAACUGAAGCAGCAUUAUUAACCAGCAAAACAACCUUCUCUUGCAAUGUCAAUCUCCCAAUGAGGUCCUUAACUCUAUCCUGUAUUGGUAACUUCACUUGGCAAAACGGCAGGUUCCUCGUCGUUUCUUCUUUUGGGUCGCAAGCAAAUGGCUCAAUGGCUUUGCUAGUUCUCCAAUAAAAACAACCCACAAAGAAAAUCAAGAAAAUAAUAAAAUGUCUGUUAGUGGAAGCCAUUUUCUUGGAAGGAAAGAAGGAAAUGGUGAAAAAUGUUUCUUGUUCUUUUUAUGAAGAUGGAGGCUAAGGGAAGUGAAAAGUGGUGCAUAUAUAUUGGCUAGGGAAGUGAUGAUGUAAGAAAGAAAGUGAAAAUUUGAUGAUUAGAUAUUCAAGUUGGUCCUUUAGCUGUUAAAGAAUAGAACACAAGUAAAAGCGAUAAGCUUUUUCUUUUCUUCUUCUUUUUUUUUUUAAAUCUUUUUGUGUAUAGUGGGCUAUAAGUUGGGUGGAUGUUGGAUAACAAAAUUUAGUGAACCUACCUGCCGUUUUGAAGAGAUUGGCAAUGGUAAUUUUUGAUUGGUUAGUUGGUAGGUCCAGUUGGAGGUUAGAUAAUCCAAAUUGACGAAAUGUCUCUAAUAAUAUUUUCUUCAUCCGGAAAAUUUCUCCCAAUGGCUGGCUGGGAAGCGUCAAAUGUACAUUUUUGGGAGAUAAAGAUCAGGUGGAAUAGAGUCGAUAGAUUGCACCAGAAUUUAUAUAAUGGUCUUAAAUAUGUAGCAGUAAAACAUAUAAUUAUUCGCAUAAUCAAUGAAUUUAUAAUAAGUUUUAAUUAAGGAUACCCAUUUUUGGUAUCGUGGUCUGAAUUGCACUUGAUCAGUAUACGUAUAUAUCACACAAUCACUGAAUUCUGAUAGAGAGUUAAAAACUUAAAAUAGAUAGAUAAAAAUAGCUUCACUUGAAAGAUAGGUCAGACACGAAGACUCAGACACUCUAAGCACUAAGGGUACGGUGAUAUGAUUGCAUUACCAGAUGGAAUCAAAAAACAUUAGCUCUUUAUUUUCUUUCAAAAAUUGUAAAUGUAUUUUUGUUUUAAACCAGAAUGCAUAAUCCCUCGGACUGCAUAGUGAAAAAGUUUUUAGCCCCUCUGAUAAAAUUUAAAUAUUUUGCUUUUAAAUAUAUUUGUAUUUAUAGUUUAAAAAGAUAUUAGAAAAAAAAAAACAGUUAUUCAAAAUAAUUUACAACAGAAGGAUAAAGGUAGGAAUAUAAAAAAAACGAAAAAGUCUAACAAACAAGUGUUCAUUUUACAAAACUAACCAAAAUAUAUCACUUAAGCAACAAGCCAAAUAAUUUAUAUUCUCAAAUCCAUUAAAUUUAAAUAUGUUUUCAGAAAAUAUUAAACAUGUUAGAUUGUUAUUCCACUUGCAAAUUGUUCGUAAAUUAACGGAUCACAGGACUAUUUAAUUUGGAUUUUAUUACUGACAAGUGAGAUUUUCAAAAUUAAGGAUUGCAGAGUUGCAAUUGGCUUGAACACGCGGCUGAGUUUAUAAUUUAAUGGAGGUUUUUCUUGUUAGUAGUAAACAAUUUUAUGCUCCAAUAAUGCAUCUAAUGGAUAGAACAGCUUAGAUGUUUUCAAGCAAGAUUUUUUGAGAGAAAAUCAAGGAAUUUAGAUCCGAUCUGCUCAUGAUUUUAAUAAAUUAUAACUACAGUUUUUAUUAGCAAACCAACUAAAUUUGGUCAACCUAUUUAGUUUUCUAACCCAUUUUUAUUAAAUUGAACUAGUGGGAUAGGUCUAUUCUAUUCCUAACUUAUUUAAGUUAAAACGGAUUUUAGGAAUGAAUCCAUCCAUAUUUGUUUGUUUUUCCUAACAUUGAAAACAAGAUUUCACCAAUAACCAUUUCUUUUAUCUUAAUGGUCAAAAAAAAAAAAAAAAAAAUGAUGAACUUGUAUUACUUGACUUUAUCGCAAAUGAAUGAUACAUAAAGGUAAGAGAGGCUAAUUAUGGAUGCUAAGCUGUACCAACUGUAACGUAAUAAUGAAAUUAUGAAAGCUUUGAAAGGGAACUUGAAAAAGAACCUUCAAUUUAAUUAUUGUGGUAAUAAUUCUGAAGAUUGAUGAUUGGUUAUCUAACUGAUUAAAUUGUCAUUGUGGGACCUUUCCUUCAACAACCCAUGUUAAAUAUUUUGCUCUUAUCCAUUUGGUCUUCUCCCAUCCCAUUCUUCUAUUUAUGUCUUUGCCAUCAAAGUUUUUUCCCUAAAAGAAAAAAUAAAAGAAGAAGAAAUGAUUAUUCAUUAACAGGAAGGACAUUUUUAGUUGGUUUGCCUGUGUAUAGGCUUGUUUAUUUGGAAAUUUAUGUUUUGGUUUUCAAUCUCAAAAAAAUUAAUGCUUCCUUUGUUUUUGAAAAAUGAUUUACUUUGAAAAAUAUUAUUGACCCAUAUCAUACAUCCAAUCCAAAUAGAUAUAGGGCGUCAAAAUGUCCCAUAGAAGACUCCAGUGUGGCCUGCUAGCUACAGAACAGACAUUCAGCCUAAUUCACGGCUUGAAGCCCAAACAACUUUUUGGGCCUGCUUGGUCCGAGAGAGAACCCGAAACUUUAACAAACAUUUGCUCAAGAAUUUUUUUUUCUUAAGUGAAAAGACAUCUCCAUGAAGGAAUUAAUAAAAAAAAUUGACCGAAAUGCAAUCCCGCUGAGUAAGAAAACUGUUUAUAGAGUUUGUUUCGCAAAAUUAUCUUAUUUAGCGGUGUAUUAGUUGUGAUAGUAGUUAUUUUUAUUUAAUUAGCUUUUCAUUAAAAGUUAAAUAAAGGUAUAAUUUUUUAUCAUCUAUUCGUUCUGAUCAAAUUUAUUCUAAAUAUUAAUACAAAAUACUUUGUUAAAACAAUAAAAAUAAUAUAAAAUAUUGUUUUCUGAUAGAGCCAUAUAAUAAACCAGUAAUUAAUAAGUAGUGAUAAAUAAGUUAAUCACAUGUUCUUAGCUUCUUAUACUUCACUAAGAAAACUUAUUCAACAAUAAUAACUUAUACAGGUAUAAUAAUUUAGUUUUUCUCUAUGCAAAUAAACACGAGCAAAGCAAACAUGCAUUUCUACUUAGCAUUAACAAUUCAUGCCAUGACAAACUGUUUAACUAAACAUGCAUAACAAACACAGAACCUAAUAUUAAUUAUAAUAAUCUUUUUAAUUAAAUAAUUAAUUAACCUUGGAAAUUAAGUAACCAGUGAGGUAUCUUUUUCUCUAUCUUCUUCUCUAUAAUAGUAUCCAAGCUAGGUUUCCACCCUUUCCCUGAAAGCUGCUUGCUCAAAUACUCCGGUCGGUUCUCCAAAAUCUCCGGCAACAACUCCGACGACUCAUGAUUCCUCUUCUCCACAUUAUUACUUUCCUUCCUUUCCAAAACAAUCUUGUGUCCAUCCGCAGGGCAUAUCCUAGCAAACAAAGGAAGAAAUCUCGACGAAGACAAAAACGACCGUGAUCUUAAGAGAGAGGUUGCACACGAAACGACAUGUCUAGCUUCCUCUGAAGAUAAUGAAGCAGGUUUUCCUCUUUUAAUUGGGAGCAUUAGAUACAGCUUCUUCAUUUCAAGCUUCUUGUCAGCUGGCAAUGGAGUUGGCCUCUUUUCAGUCAAGUUUGGACAGAACUCGACCACCACCUGUUGUGGAUGCUCUAGCAUCAGUUCCGCUACGGUUACUGGCUGGUCGAAUUCUUGAACGCUGCCGUCCGAUAGAAUUACUUUUCCGGUGACGUUUGUUGAUUGGGUAGUUAUGUAAUUCCCCAUUGUUGAUGAGAAGAACUCAUGCAAUGGAGAGGAAGUUUUGGUUUUGGGGCAUCUUAUUGAGAGAAUAUUUAUGGGAAUUUGCUUGUGGGAAGUGUUUGUUAAACCGCUCCAUCAUGUGACAUGUAUAAUGGUGGACUUGGUAAUAACUAAAUCUCUCUAUAAAGAUUAGGCCGCUGGGCGAUUUGAGUGAGUUUUUUCUUCUUCUUUUUUUUUUUUUUUAAAAAAAAAGAAGAAUUAACCUAUAUUAUAAUUAAGUUACACGCUUUAUUAAUUCAUAAAUCACUAUUUAUAUAUAAAAAACGAAUCAAAUGUUAAUAAUUCAUAAACCACUAUUUAUAUAUAAAAAAUGAAUCAAAUGUUAAUAAUUCAUAAAUCACUAUUUAUAUAUAAAAAAUUAAUCAAAUGUUAAUAGAUGAUCAGAUAAACAGAAAUAAUUAUAUUUCGAAGCAAAUUUUACACCUAAGAUUUGAGUUUGAAAUCUAAUAAAAUGUUACACUUAAAAAAAAAUAAUAGGAAUAUUUAUUUAUCACUAUUGAUUUUUUUUUUUUCUAAAAAAAAAAAAAAAAAAAGAACAAGAAUUCGGAGCAUAUUUUAUAGUCCCGUGAUAUUUGACUAGGUAAUACGCAAACGUUAGGCUUGGUCCAAUACAAUGGAGGUGGUAUUGGUAGUGGUAGAUUCCUGGAAUUUUAUUAAAAAUUUAUCACCUUUUAUUUGUCUUUCACCUAACGAAGCCAAGGGAAGUCAAGGAACGGUUCAACUAUAACUAUAUUAACUAAUGUCUUUAAUUAAAACCAUAGGAUAAUAUAAUAUGUCAUAUCAGAAAUUAAAAUUGGACCGUCCAAGCAUCUAUUAAUCUCACGAGGGCUACUAUACUGUUGGUCAUAUGGGGAUGUAUUAGAAAACUGUACAAUAGAAGAAGCAUUCUGCGUGCAUAUUAAAGGGAGAAAACUGUAACCAAGCAUGAGCUAAUAUUUAUUUAAUUAAAUAUUUAUCCAUAUUUAUUGAAAGCAAGAUCUAAACAGAGAUUUAUUAAUAUUUGUUCUUUUCCCCUUUUUAGCACAUUGAAAUUCGACUCUUAGGUUGGGCUAAUACUAAUGAAAGAGAGGCCGCCCAUUAUUUCUAGAAGGCCUAAAAUGUUAGGCCACGUUUGACCCAUUCGCUAUCAAAAGAUUAUAUGUCGUUUCACUUUGUUAAAAUUCUGUGUCGUUUAUAUGUGUGCCAUACAGCCAAUAAAAAAGGUUUACCAUUUUAGUUGGAUCAUUCAUUCAAUAAUUAUUUCAAAUAUUCAAAUUGAAUAUAUGAUUGACAAAUAACAGCUGAUGAUAUAAACAAAUUCAUGAUUGGAGUUAAUUUUCUACUUCUAUUUCACAAUUCAAAUAUAUUCCCUAUUGGAUUUCCCUGUUCAUAUAUGUUACAACGAUUCGGAAAAUCAUUCCCCCAAUAAUAUUUAUUAAAAAAAAAAAAUCAAAGCUCCUCAGUGAUGGCCUCUAAAGCUGGAGUCCAUUGCCUGCAUUUCUCCAAUCGGCAACAGGCAAAACCCAUAUCCAGCUCUUCCUUAACCUCACUCUCUGCCUCAUUAGCCACAGCCGGUAAAACCUUAGCGCCCCUCCGCCCUUUGCUUGACUUUUUCUUCUUAGAUGCAGCAGCAGCAGACUCUAUAAUCCCCAGCUCUGACUCCGAAAUCUUACGGUUAAGCUUACUUAAAUGAACUAGCAGGUAAAACUUUCCCGCCAAAAGCUCAUCCUCAGCUCGCAAAGCUAUUAACCGGCGGGUCCGCCGGAGUUCUUGCACAGGAGAGACGACGUGGCCGGGUUCUUCGAGCAUGAGCUCCGCUGCUUUAGCUGGGGCCUUUACUUGCCUCAAGUUCCCUUGAGAAUCUAUAAGCUUAGCAGUUUUACUGGGGAUAUAAAAGCAGGAAGAGUAGUUUCCCAUAUUUGCAAAGUUGAAGAUUAGAGAUUGCGAUUUCUUUUACUUAUUGCCUGUUUUGGAUGUUUGAUGUUCGAUGUUUUAUGAAUGAGGAGUAACGGUGAGUGGUCCAUAUUAUAUAUGAACAAUAAAGGAGAAGGAAUGAGAGGAGACCAGGGAGCGGCGAGUGAGAGAUAGAAAGAGUCAAAGCGUCAAAGAGAUGACCGGCCAAUGAAAUGCGGAAUGCGUGUAAAAUAAGUUGAUUUAAACGCGGGUUUCCUUUUUACCGAUUGCGUUUGAGCGUAGCAAUGACGAUUGACGCAGCAGUGAGCAUAGUUAGUAAAGUGAAUGUUGUGUGCGUUCAAAUCCGAGUGCGGUAUUGUACCAAUUAUGUGACAAAUGCCUGGUUGUGGUAAUUUGUGGGGCCACUGCUUAUUUGUUUUUAUGUGGUUACGAAUCUGCUGAUUGACUACGCCAGAGACUAGACUAGAGCAUUUCAGAAUCUUCUCCUAUUCCCAUCCUUUCACUAGAAUAUCACAGGUCAGGAACAGUAUGUACGAUUUUAAUCGAGGAAUGAUGGCCGACUCGUUUGAGCUUCAUAGCACGAAUUAAACGGUAUAAAAUGGACCAAAUUAGUCUUCUAGUUGAAAUUUUUUGUUAACA
rnacentral:lncRNA from 1 species